rnacentral:lncRNA from 1 species
AGUCUUAGACUCUUGGAGGUUUGCUUUGUUUUAAUUUUAUUAUCUUAUGUUUAUUUUAUUAAAUUAUAUAUUUAUUUAUAAAUUGCAAGUCUCUCUGGAAAUUACAAGUAUACAAUUAUAUUAUUUUAUGAUUACUUUAAUGUUGCUCCUUCCCUGUGACAGUCACCUAGAAGGGCCAAAGAUCUGGGUUGGGAGGUGUUCAGUACAUUUGAGAGUCCUUGGGACAAUGGACAAAUCCCAGCAAAACGUGCUUUAAGCAUUAAAGAGCCACAGUCCCUUCCCUUGCAUGUGAAUGAGAACCAAUAAGCCACAGGAUGAUGACAGUCAACUCAGCAAUUCUGGGGCAACGGCCACCACAGGUGGGUCAAGGUUUGCAGAGAUCAAAUGAGCACUUUAGUUAAAGAAUAAGGGUCAGAAGAGCGCAAGUCCACGAACACAAACAGGAACUUCACACCUGUCCUCCGAAUCGGAGCAGUGCAGACUACUGAGCAAGACUCACAUCGAGGAUGACGAGGGUUUGUCUUCCAGACAUGCACUGGUGAUUUUCAAAAAUGGUAAGUUUUUGGCUUAUACAAAAGAAUGGGUUCUAUUCAACCAUCUGUAUGUCUUCUUCGUCAACGGGCAUCUCCGAGACUAUACCGGAGCACAGAGGCGGGAGGCCUGCAGCGAUCCUACCCAGCAGGGCUGGGAGUCUGCAGCGGGGCAGGGCCUGUCAGGCAAGCUCCUGGCAGGGUCCUCAUUUUCCCCAUGCAAACUUGGACAGCAGAAAGAGGUACAGUGAAAUCCAUCGCUUGCUCCCCUGAAAGCACGAGUAGCUCCUAAAUUCCUAGGAGAUGGCCACAUCAAUCCAUAAUCGGGUUAGGGAAACGCCAGCCAUAGACAGACAAAAUAAACUCUGUCCUGGCUGACAGACUGCUGACAGUGAGCAGAAACGGCUCGCGAUCGAUGCCCUGAAAAGCUGGGCCCGUGGCUUGUGAAUACCCUACCAAAAAGGCAGGCCCCGGACUCUGAGGCAGGAUGCCCAUGUUUACACUGGCUUUUCAGGAUGGAGAACAGGGGGCAGGACGAAGUAGGGAAGAAAAGAGCUCAAAAUUCCAAAGGCAAGGCACAAAAUAAGUUUCCUGAUUCUAACUCAGAGAACUAUUACAGAAAGAAAAUAGAAAAAUCCAACUGCCCUGCAGGGAAAAGAUUCAUCUGGCAUGGGGCAUUACCUAACACACAGAAGUCAGUUUUCCAGGCCUGCCUGGCAUCUGCCCUAGAACAGUGCCUGAUUUGGGGUAACUCCCACCACCCCAGUCUCAGUCCAUGUGACUCAUAAGAGGCUGGGACCCCAACCCAAAGCUCUAGAGCCCUACAUUCCUCUGGCCAGUGAUGGGCUCAGAGGCAGGAACAUGACCCAGCAGAGAUGGAGAGGCCGAGAGGAUGACCACGGGCACGAGACUGGGUGGCCCUAAGCCUGGAGCUGUUCGGGCCCCACCCAGCCACGUGGUGGGAAGAGUCCAGAAGAGAGAGACCAUCCCGCCAUGUGGACCAGCUGUACCUGAAACUAAGGAUUUGAUACGGUUUGGAUGUGUGUCUUCUCCUAAUCUCAUGUUGAAAUGUGACCUCCGUGUUGAAGGUGGGGCCUAGAGGAAGGUGUUUGGGUUAUGGGGGGGAUCGCUCAUCAAUGGCUUCGUGCUGUCCUCUCAGUAAUGAGUGAGUUCUCACUCUAUGAGUCCACAUGAGAUCUGGUUGUUUAAAAGAACCCAGCACCGGCUAGGCACAGGGGCUCAUGCCUGUAAUCCCAGCACUUUGAGAGGCUGAGGCGGGUGGAUCACAAGGUCAGGAGUUCAAUACCAGCCUGGCCAAUAUGGUGAAACCCCGUCUUUACUAAAAAUACAAGAAUUAGCCAGGCAUGGUGGCAGGUGCCUGUAGUCCCAGCUACUCGGGAGGCUGAGGCAGGAGAAUCAGGAGAAUUGCUUGAACCCGUGAGGUAGAGGUUGCAGUGAGCCAAGAUCGCACCACCACACUCCAGCCUGGGUGACAGAGUGAGACUCCAUGUCAAAAAGAAAAAAAAAGAACCUGACACCUCCCCACUCUCUUGCUCGCUCUCUUGCCAUGUGACAUGCCUGCUGCCCUUUCACCUUCCACCAUGACUGUAUGCUUCCUGAGGCUUCACCAGGAGCAGAUGCCAGCACCACGAUUCCGGUACAGCCUGCACAACUGUGGGCCAAAAUAAACCUCUUUUCUUUGCAAAUUAUCCAGUCUCAGUUAUUCCUUCAUAACACAGAGUAGACCAGCACAAGACUUUCAGGUAUAUGAGUAAUAAAUUCUUUUUCUGACUUGGGGCAGUCUGAGGAGAGUUUCUGUCACUCACAAAUGAAAAAUUCCUGAUUAAUGCUUUCUUCCCCCAAAUAAAGCCCGAGUGUUUUCAAGUUUUCCAUAUUAAAGUUUAGAUCAUCUAACUCAACGUGUGUUUCAAUGCCCUACCAAUUUAAUUGUGCAACUGUUCACCCCACAAGAUUUCCAAGGAGAAUGCCAACAAUGGGCUUUGGGAAGUCCAGUCUGGCAACAUCUUUUCCCCUUUCUCUGAGCCCCGGCCACCAGCCCCUCAGUGGCAGCAAGGCUCUCAAAUGGGGGAUCCAGAAAGGCCCUCAUGGCCUUAGCCCCAGGACCACCCCUCAAUUCAUCCCUUGGUGAAGCCGUGGCUCCUCCAUGGACUCCAUGUCCCUGGGAAGGCCUCACCCCUUAGCAGCCUCCUGGGGCCCAGGCCAGGGGCUGCCUGAUAGAGCUGCUCCCUCUUCACUGAUGGGAGUGAGGGCUCAGAUGAACCCUGGCUGAUGUAAGUCUUCCAGAAAAUAAAGACAGUGAGGCCGGCCCAGGCUGCAAUGUAAACUACAAGCAACGUAUCAGCCAGAUACCCUUUUAAUAGACAUCAAAGCAAUUCAGGUCACCUUGAUAUUCUUAGAGCAAAAAAUCCUGAUCAGGGCCGGGCGCAGUGGCUCACACCUGUAAUCUCAGCACUUUGUGGCGGCGAGGUGGGUGGAUCACCUGAGGUCAGGAGUUCGAGACCAGCCUGACCAACAAGGUGAAACCCUGUCUCUACUAAAAAUACAAAAAUCAGCCAGGAAUGGUGGCAGGGGCCUGUAGUCCCAGCUACUCAGGAGGCUGAAACAGAAUUGCUUGAACCCAGGAGGCGGAGGUUGCAGUGAGCUGAGCUCGUGCCACUGCAUGCCAGCCUAGGAGAUGGAGCAAGACUCCAUCUCAAAAAAAAAAAAAUAGAAUAAAAUAAAUAAAAUUAAAAUUAAAAUAAAAAAUAAUAAAAAAAAUGAAAAAAAAAAUCAUGAUCAGAAGAUUACACAGGCAGCCUACAAGAUGUGCUGAACUAGGCCUGGGGAUGGUCCCUGCUCUACCCCUCACCAGGGGAGUUGGUCCCCUUCUUAACCUCUCCAGGUUUAAUCUGCCACCUGUGAAGGAGACACCACUGGAGAUGACCAGACUUUGACUCUUCUGCCAAAGCGGUUUCCACAGCUUGCUCACACCCUCCACUGCCACAUGUUCCACAAUCCUGGGAACGGAGCAGGCACUGUGCCCUUUUUACACGGCUUGGUGGGGAUGGCACAGCUUUGGCACCAGACCUGGCUGGCUCUGCCCCUCACCAGCCUGCAGCCCCAACCUCCCGGCCUCUCUCUCUCACCUCUAAGAGGGGAGAGUGGUGCCCACCUCAGAGUUGACUCGGAGCAGAGAAUAGUGGCAAAGAACUCAGCACCACGUCUGGCAGGCAGUAAGGACGCCAUAAAGCUGGCUAUUGUUAGUGUUCCUGAAGUUGGGCAACUGGGUCUCUAAAAUUCCUUCCACUGUAAGCGUCACAGACCCUGGCUCCUUCAUAGCUGCCCUGAGCAUGAGAGCUGCCAGGAAACAAGGGGCACCACCUCAAUCAAAGACGCACUGGCACCCAGGGGAAAGGAGGGUGAUGCCAAGGAGGGGAGGAGCACUGUUCCGCCGGCCUGCAGGCCACACCCAGGGGGACUGGACUGCAUUCUCUGCCCCACCCAGCACCCAGCCCCUUUGAGCGCUUUGUGACCUUUUCAUCAGAGUUGGUUACCUUGAACUCAAGUCAACAUCUUGAUACAUAAAGCCAGUUGGCCUACAUUAGCAUGCACCAUGCUAAUCUCUUGGAAGAGAUUCAGUUCAGGGCCAAACCCACACAGGGUGGCAUCAGAGCCCUGAGAUUCAAAGCAACAAUCAAGCAGAUAGACACAGACUUCCUGGGUCCAAAUCCUGUGACACGGUUUGGCUCUGGGUCCCCACCCAAACCUCAUCUCGAUUUGUAACCCCCACGUGUUGAGGGAGGGACCUGGUGGGAGGUGACUGGAUCAUGGGAGCAAUUUUCCCCACGCUGUUCUCAUGAUAGGGAGUGAGUUCUCAUGAGAUCUGAUGCUUUAAAAGUGGCAGUUUCCCCUGAGCUCUCUCUCUCUCCUGCCACCUUCUGAAGAAGGUUCUUGCUUCUCCUUUGCCUUCCGCCACGAUUGUAAGUUUCCUGAGGCCUCCCCAGCCCUGCGGAAUAACUGUGAGUCAAUUAAACCUCUUUCCUUUGUAAAUUACCCAGGCUCAGGUAGGAUCUUUAUAGCGGUGUGAAAACACACUAACACAUCCUGGCCCUCCACUUUCCAGUUCUGUAACUUCUCUGAGCAAAGUCUGUUCAUCUGUAAACACAGUCUCCAGUUCCUAGGAUCCAACACGUUGACAUGUGUGAAGCUCUUCAGCAGUCCCCAGAACAUACAAACACUAGGUAAGGGGGCACGGCUCAGCUACUCCCUUGCUGGAGACACCUGCUCAGUGACCUAAGCAAGCCCUACUCUUCCUCUUCCUUUUGGCCUCGGACUCCUUGCCUGGCCAUGCCAAGGGCUGCUCUCUGCUUGUCACAAAGCCACAGUGACUCCACAAAGGCUACGGUCCCUAGACCAGUUUCCUUCAUGUGCAAGUUACACCCCCAUGGCUUCGUCAAGGCCAACUCAGCACAGUCUCCUUAC